UAGGGAAUCUUCGGCAAUGGACGAAAGUCUGACCGAGCAACGCCGCGUGUGUGAAGAAGGUUUUCGGAUCGUAAAACUCUGUUGUUAGAGAAGAACAAGGACGUUAGUAACUGAACGUCCCCUGACGGUAUCUAACCAGAAAGCCACGGCUAACUACGUGCCAGCAGCCGCGGUAAUACGUAGGUGGCAAGCGUUGUCCGGAUUUAUUGGGCGUAAAGCGAGCGCAGGCGGUUUCUUAAGUCUGAUGUGAAAGCCCCCGGCUCAACCGGGGAGGGUCAUUGGAAACUGGGAGACUUGAGUGCAGAAGAGGAGAGUGGAAUUCCAUGUGUGGCGGUGAAAUGCGUAGAUAUAUGGAGGAACACCAGUGGCGAAGGCGGCUCUCUGGUCUGUAACUGACGCUGAGGCUCGAAAGCGUGGGGAGCAAACAGG
rnacentral:rRNA from 1 species